rnacentral:rRNA from 1 species
UGAACGCUGGCGGCGUGCCUUACACAUGCAAGUCGGAUGUGUCGCAAGACACAUGGCAGACGGGUGAGUAACACGUGGGAAACUUACCUCUUAGUGGGGAAUAACGCUCCGAAAGGAGCGGUAAUACCGCAUGAGACCUAUCGCUGGGAUGCGAUAGAUGAAAGCUGGGGAUCGUAAGACCUAGCGCUGAGAGAGAGUCCUGCGUCUGAUUAGUUAGUUGGUGAGGUAACGGCUCACCAAGACUUCGAUCAGUAGCCGGCCUGAGAGGGCGAUCGGCCACACUGGAACUGAGACACGGUCCAGACUCCUACGGGAGACAGCAGUGGGGAAUCUUGCGCAAUGGGCGAAAGCCUGACGCAGCAACGCCGCGUGGGUGAUGAAGGUCUUCGGAUUGUAAAACCCUGUCGUUAGGGACGAAGGCAUGAAUCCUAAUACGGUUCAUGUUUGACGGUACCUAGAAAGGAAGCCCCGGCUAACUCU